ensembl:snRNA U6 U6 spliceosomal RNA
GUGUUCGCUUAGCAGCAAUAUAAUAAUAUUGGAAAGGUACAGAAAAGAUUAGCAUAGCUCCCAUGCAGGGAUGACAUGCAAAUUCAUGAAACACUCCAUUAAAAA